rnacentral:rRNA from 1 species
GAAUGCUGACAUAAGUAACGAUAAAGCGGGUGAAAAGCCCGCUCGCCGGAAGACCAAGGGUUCCUGUCCAACGUUAAUCGGGGCAGGGUGAGUCGACCCCUAAGGCGAGGCCGAAAGGCGUAGUCGAUGGGAAACAGGUUAAUAUUCCUGUACUUGGUGUUACUGCGAAGGGGGGACGGAGAAGGCUAUGUUGGCCGGGCGACGGUUGUCCCGGUUUAAGCGUGUAGGCUGGUUUUCCAGGCAAAUCCGGAAAAUCAAGGCU